UGUGUUUAAGAGUGUCUUGUGUUCAGAUUGUUUUAAGUGAUAAUUUAACAAUAUUUUUCCAAAUAAAUGGAAAGAAACUUUUAUUUAUAUCAAAUAAUUGAGUGUCUCGACUGUGUGACAUUAUGUCUUGUGUGGUAUGGGGCUGCAGCUCACAUUCAGGAAGAAAAGAAAAUAGCCAACAACUUCUGUCGUUUCAUCGAUAUUAAAUCCAAAAGUGUCGACUGGAUUUACAUGAAAAGUCAGUUCAAGAAGACGAGAUGAAAAAUUUAAAAGAAAAGCUGAACAAGUCCCGCCUCAAGAUCAAACGACUUAAUGAAAAAAAAAACAAUGUGUCAGGGUGUCACAAAGACAGUUUCUAAGCAAAUUGACACUGUUUAGAAAUUAAUAAAUUUGUAUUUAUUGUAAAUAUAAUGUACAUAAUUAAUAACGUGUGAAAUAAAUACUUGCUAAUGAAAAUGAACAGAUUUACGAUCUAAUUUAUAUUUCAUUUUACCUCCUGUUCUUAUUUACUCCUACUCCAACACUCCAGGUUGAUACGAACUGCGCCCAAUAAAGAAUGUAAUGAAUGUUAUAGAUUUGUGUAAGCGACUUAGAUAAAUCUUGACUAAACCUUCUUUUACAAAUACAAAUAUACUUUAUUGCACACAACAUACAAUACUUACAAGUUUUACACGAAAGAUACAGUACACCACCUACCUACCUUUUACUUUCCCUUUCUGUUCUCUUAUGAAUACUUGUAUGCCGUAUUUUUUAAGUAUAAUGCUAUAUCUAGUAGGUACGAGUAUGGUAAUCCUAGUAUUGAAACAGCUUGUAGCCCUAGUAAAGACUGCCAUUUUUUUUUUUUUUGUUUUGUUUUUCCCCGAAGGGUAAGGCAAAGGGAACUAUGCCCAUACAGCCAUGUCUGACGUAUUUUUUUUCUUGAUGAUUAAUGAAAUGAUGAAAGGUGAUGAUGAUGAAACCUAAGCCCCCACCCUCGGAGUAGACUCCUACUCCGAACCCCAAACGAAUUAACUCAAAAGUCCGCAUAAACUUUUGAGUUAUGAAGCGGCUUCCCGGCACGAAGCGAAAAUAGGCAGAUACACUUUGUUCAUUGAAUACUCCAAUAUAAUAACACUCGCGAAUGUCUUCCGACUAACUUAAUGCGAUCAUUAACCACAAAACACCACUUCGUAUUAAUUAUUUAGAUUACCCAAUGAAGAAAGCAACUGUCCCGUUCCCGUUUCCCGCCGAAAAAAACUAAAGACUGCCAUUUUAUGUUUACAGAGUGGCACGUUUUUU